rnacentral:rRNA from 1 species
UACGUAGGGGGCAAGCGUUGUCCGGAAUCAUUGGGCGUAAAGAGCGCGUAGGCGGUCCGGUAAGUCGGUUGUGAAAACUGGGGGGCUCAACCCUCAGAGGCCGACCGAUACUGUCGGGCUAGAGUCCGGAAGAGGCGAGUGGAAUUCCUGGGUGUAGCGGUGAAAUGCGCAGAUAUCAGGAGGAACACCGGUGGCGAAGGCGGGGUCUCUGGGGCCGAUACUGACGCUGAGGAGCGAAAGCCAGGGGGAGCAAACGGG